UUAGAUUCGUGUGUAGGUCUUGGAGUAUUCCAACAAUAAAAAUUGAAUUAAACCUUAUUUAUUUUCAAAGUUUUAAAAUGCUUUAAACUAUUAAAAUGGUACUUAAAAUUGAUUUUAUCGCUUGAGAAUGACGGUUAAUAACCUCUCAACACUCCGACACAUUGAAAUAGAAAAGGCCUACUUUUUCAAAUUGCUCCUGUAAUAAUACAUAAAGAAUAUACAGUUUAAUUGUUUUGAAUACAGUAAAACAUGUUUAUAAUGAAAAAAUAAGAAUAUUUAAUUGUUGUGUAUUUUUAUGAAGCAGACAGUGAAGAUCAUAAUCUCAUUUAAAAAAGAAUGCAUAAACAUUUUUUAUUAUUAACUCCAAAAAGAUGAUUUUUAUUUUAAUCUGAUCUGACACAUGAAUAUUAUCGUACAUUAUUAUUUUAUUACCAAUUAGAUGAAAAGAUAGAAUUAUUUUCUAUUUCAGAUAUGUUUUUCGAAUGAAUUUCUAUUCUAAAAUGACACAAAUAGGAUAACAGGAAAGGGUUAAUUUGAUGUCAUCUGGUAAACUUCGUUACCACUAAAAAAUAUUUAAUAAACUUAUAUGAAUGGAGUCUCUUUAUAAACAUAAGACAAAGAGUAUAAAAUAAAUCAAUUUAUUUCAAAUAUUCCAACAAUUUUGUUCUUUAAAUGAUGAAUCUACUCCAUAUCCAAGAUUUUGAAAGAUUAUCAGAAUUAUUUACAAAGAAUAAAUUCAAUGUUAAAUUAUUAUAAACAAUUAUAUAUAACAACUUACUAAGAAGUAUGUACGAAGUAAUUACAGAAUGCAACACUUAUUAUAUAGGGGUUCUAAUACUCAGUGCAUUUCAUGUUAAUCAUUUGAAUUCACAUGAACUUGCAGUGAUAAUAUUAAAAAAAAUUAUUUCUUAAUAAAUUUAAAACAAAAUGAUAAAUAAAUUUAUGUUAACUGAUUUACAUGAAAAAAAAAUGAAGAAAACUGGAAAGAUAAGAUUUAACAGACUUUAUGGAAACCACAUUAAUUGCUGUAAAUGAUCUAUGAUUACAAAUUGUUAUAUUAAGAUAUAAUAAUGAUUAAAAAUAACAUACUGAUAUAAGUAAAAUUUCUUAUCUUAAGACCAUAUCGCGUGAGUGAACCAUCCUCGUGGAAAGAAAGGAAGCUUCUGAAAUCAGCAUGUAACGAUGUAAAAUCACCGAUGCGUAAAUUAAAGGGUUCUCCACGAAUACGUAGACACAGGAAAAAAAAUUCUACGUUAUAUAUUUAUUAUUAACAGAAGUUUAAUUAGAACUUUUACAUAUUGAAGAAUCGCUUUAUAUCUAGAGAAAUGAAUUAAUUCUUUCUGAUUAUCAACCUGACUUGAUGUGCUCAUUCAACAAAAUCAAUUUUGAAUAUUAAAAAAAAAACCUAAAAAUUUCUA